AGGGCUUUAGGAUGGAAGCAACCGUGUGACCAAAGGCCUGGGAGUCUCGGCCCUACUCCCCAUCGACCACAGCGUCCAGACCCCCCUGCCCUCCAGCCGCAUGAUCAGAAGGCCAGAGGGGGAAGACCAGAGUAUUUAACCCCUCUACCUACAGCCCCCUGUCCCUGCCGGGCAGACCCUUCCCGUGGCUUCUGCUCACUGGCCCUGGAAACCCCACCAGUCCUUCAGGGACAGGAGUGUUUAUGGCCCCGUCGGUGCCCUGGGUCCCCUGGAUCUGCUGCCCACACCCUUGUAAAUGCUCGCAUUUGCCCCAUUAGACAGUGUGCCAUCUGUUUCCUGCAGUGCCCGACCCAUGCCGGGUGCUGGUGGAGAGCAGGGCCUCACAGUUACCCAGCUCAACCCUGGCUUUUACAUGAGGGGGAAACUGAGGCCCACAGAGGGCAAGUGAUCCGUCCAGGGUCACCCAGCCCCAGGGUCGGGGCUCAUGGCUGCUCUGGAAAGGCCAAGGCUUUGCUCUGCAGAGGCUGGAAUUCCGUGUGCCCCUCCCCUCCCAGCCCCGCCCAGGCUGGUCACGUGAGCAUUUCCUCCCCACCAGGAGCCGGAUGUGUCUGCAGAGGCUUAAUAAACCCAUUAGGGCUGUUUGCACCACCCGGACACACACCUGGGCACCCAGCCAGCGCCCUCUUCCCUGCCCGGUGCCCCGUAGCAAGGGGCGUCUCCUGGCCUCCUCGCUGUCCCUCACCCCACCCUCCAGCUGUCCCCACCCUGCCCACCCAGCAGUCACUGUGGCUUCCAGGCCUUUGUACGCUCGGUUGCUCCUGCCUGGGUCCCUUUCUUGGGGUCACCUGGCACAGUGUGGCCCCUUCUCCAGGAAGCCCUCUCCUCUGGCUCCCAGACCUCUGCGUUCCCUCCACCUCUUGUGCUGGCUGGUUGCCCUCUCCUGUUGAAGGAGGAAACAGACAGAACAGGCUCCAUCUUGAAAGCAGGACUCCAUCUUGGGCCGGACUGUGGACUUUGAGCUCUACGCCCAGUAUCUAUGGAAAUGACAUACCAACUGGAAAACCAGGCCCCCUGGAUGGAAGAGCCCCAGGGCUUGUACCUAGACUCUCUGUUGCCUAA
rnacentral:lncRNA from 1 species